CAGUCGCCGCGGUAAUACGAGGGGGGCAAGCGUUGUUCGGAAUUAUUGGGCGUAAAGGGUGCGUAGGCGGUUUGGCAAGUUUGGUGUGAAAUCUUCGGGCUCAACUCGAAGUCUGCAUCGAAAACUGCCGGGCUUGAGUAUGGGAGAGGUGAGUGGAAUUUCCGGUGUAGCGGUGAAAUGCGUAGAUAUCGGAAGGAACACCUGUGGCGAAAGCGGCUCACUGGACCAUAACUGACGCUGAUGCACGAAAGCUAGGGGAGCAAACAGGAUUAGAUACCCGGGUAGUCCCUGUCUCUUAUAC
rnacentral:rRNA from 1 species